ensembl:snoRNA Y73B6A.14 ncRNA
CCCGAAGAAGAAAAUCAAAGAAGCUUCUGAUUAAAAAGGGGAUUCAAUUUUGGAAUUCUAGCGUAGUUUUAACGUAACUUAUGCAUUUUAGAGAAAUCCACAAAAAUGCGCAAGCAAACACGCGAAAUGCGCCAGUAAGCUGCCUCUAGUGAGGUUU